AGUGAACGCUGGCGGUAGGCCUAACACAUGCAAGUCGAACGGCAGCACAGUAAGAGCUUGCUCUUACGGGUGGCGAGUGGCGGACGGGUGAGGAAUACAUCGGAAUCUACUUUUUCGUGGGGGAUAACGUAGGGAAACUUACGCUAAUACCGCAUACGACCUACGGGUGGAAGCAGGGGAUCUUCGGACCUUGCGCGAUUGAAUGAGCCGAUGUCGGAUUAGCCAGUUGGCGGGGUAAAGGCCCACCAAGGCGACGAUCCGUAGCUGGUCUGAGAGGAUGAUCAGCCACACUGGAACUGAGACACGGUCCAGACUCCUACGGGAGGCAGCAGUGGGGAAUAUUGGACAAUGGGCGCAAGCCUGAUCCAGCCAUACCGCGUGGGUGAAGAAGGCCUUCGGGUUGUAAAGCCCUUUUGUUGGGAAAGAAAAGCAGCAGGUUAAUACCCCGCUGUUCUGACGGUACCCAAAGAAUAAGCACCGGCUAACUUCGUG
rnacentral:rRNA from 1 species